rnacentral:rRNA from 1 species
UACGUAGGGGGCGAGCGUUGUUCGGAAUUAUUGGGCGUAAAGGGUGCGUAGGCGGCUUUGUAAGUGUGUCUGUCAAUAUAAGGGCUCAACCCUUAUACCUGGACGCAAACUGCAAAACUAGAGUCUGCCAGGGGCAAGUGGAAUUCCAGGUGUAGCGGUGAAAUGUAUAGAGAUCUGGAGGAACACCCGUGGCGAAGGCGACUUGCUGGGGCUGGACUGACGCUGAGGCACGAAAGCCAGGGGAGCAAACGGG